UUUUUACCCCCCGGACCCCUCUACCUCGAGUCUCUAGUAGGAAAGGAAAUCCUGAGAUCUCAAAAUGGAGAUGGGCUAGCUACACCGGAAUCGCUGAAAUCGCUGUCCUAUUUCUCUCUUAGCUUUGUCUCGUCGCUCCUCGAAGCGGCUCAUGCUCCCUCUACCUCGUUACGUUUCACAGAGAAGUCUUUAGGGUUCCCUUGAACUCUCCCUUCCGUCAGACACCCUAUCUCUCUCUUAGCUUAAUCGUCGCUCCUUCGAGUGCGCCUGCAAGUUUUCUGAGUGAGAUUGAUUUCUCCGAGAAGCUGCCGUUUCGUUCGAAGCUUUCUGUUCGAAGCUGCAAUGGAGAGGCAAGAACUGAAUAGGUUCUUUCAUAACCUAAGCAUCAAACUGUCCAAAGUUGAUACUUGUUCCAACUUUGAGUAGGAAAUUGGGAUGAUCUAUUUUGGAUUCUUCAAAUAUGUGUCAAGCAUAAAUCAGCUGUUGAAAUAUCCAUGUCCCUGGUUAUGGCUUUCGGGCUGUUGCUAUAUCCAACACUUUCUGCCUAUCUCUACAUAUGGCACUCGUGUUCAUAUCAACAGAUCAUAGAUCAGAGGUCUUCCGUAGGGUUGAGUGUGACUGAUUAUGGUUUAUGUUCUGCCCUUUAACAGCGCAAGUAUUUGAACUGCCUUCUUUAUUUGGUUUACUAGUGGACUGUACACGGGGAAAAUAUCUCAUUGUCUCAAGUGCUGCUCUUACUGUAAAUCAACCAAGAGGGCCAUAUGAUUUUGCGAAUAUAUCCACAUUAUUUGGGCCUUCAUUGGAACGAAGAAAAGUAGCUAUUUCUAAGAAUUGCAGUAUCUUGCAGGGCAAUUGUCGCUAAUGCUUUGAGUAAAAACAAUGGUCCAAUGAGGCAUAAAAAAUGAUAGAAUAUUACCUGGCUGGCAAUUGGACUUACAUAACUGGGAUGACAUCUCUAGUGAUAGGGUGAUCUAAUGUUGGAUAAGACGACAAAGUUUUUCUCUGCAUCUACUAAAGCACCCAAAACUUCAAAAGCCAUUGAUUUUAUUUCAAUAGCAGAAGGUAUGCUGCAGUUAGAGGAUUUGGUGUCUGGAAGCGAAGCAGAGGUGCAGACUCCAACAAAUAAUACUACAGAGUUUCAUCCACUUCCAAGGAAUUAUGAGGGAUCAGAUGUUGCUAAUGAGAGAUCAAUACAUUCAAGUGGCCUUAGUGAAGUUCUUGAUGCAACACUAACCAUCAAACCACCAAAACAUCAAACUUCUGGUUCACCUUAUAAUGAAUUGGCAGUUCUCACUGAUUCUGUGGAAAUGGAGUCCACAAAAGAUUGGAGCGAAGUGCUUGAGGUUUUGACUUUUGAGCGGGUCUGAUGUAGUUUUGGUAGCAGUCAGAAUAACGUCCCUUGACUCGUCAUCAUAAGAAUGCAUCACUAGCCAUGAGACAAAUCCUGGGUUACAACAUGAAACAGUGUUUUCUUGUAACUAUGUUGAGGACAUUGAACCUUCUACCGUAUUUGAUAUAACUCAACUCAACUCAACUCAACUCAGCCUUAUCCCAACAACAUGGGGUCGGCUACAUGAAAUUAUUAAUGAUGCUACUCCAAAUUGUAUGUGUCACUGAAGUCUUUGGCCCGGAGCAUACCUAACACUGUAUUGUUAGUUGUUCGAGGGUAUAAUGAUAAUUCCUUCAAUAUUUAGGUACCUAAUAGGAAGGUGUUAGGGUAGUUGGCUUGGACGGGACACAAUAUUCCAUCUCAGGAAGCGAGGUCCUGUGAUCAAACUUUUGUUGCUGCACCUAAUUUCUUGGGGCCAUUGCAUGAGAGUUUCAGUCUUGGACUGACUUGGUCCUGUGUUUCUUGCUGCUCCAUUUCUUUUUCUUGGUAUGGGGGAUCCCCUAACCAAACUAUGGUAGAAGCAUUUGAUAUUAAAUGGAAGGAUUAAUAAUCCCCCACUAUACUACAGCAUACUAUGUACAA